ensembl:lncRNA
AUGUGGGCCUACAGGACUGAUCCAGUGGUCGAAAACCAGCCAACAAGCCAGCCAACAAUGGAUGUGGCUGUAGACACCAGAUUGAACUCAGGAGAAGAUGCAGUGAUUGAGCAAAACGCAAUACAGCAUGAUCCGGACAGUGUGUGCCCGGAACAUUUUGGCACUUUUGACAGUAAUAUGACAUUGUACUCUGGCUUCGAUGAUGGCGCCCAUAUCUCGCAAAGGCCCCUUGUUCCAUCCCAGACCAACAAUGAUACCUCGACUCCAAACAUUUCAGCAGCUUGUCCAAGCGGGUUCGCAGAUGGAGUAGCAUCAUGCCAAUCUAUGGAUGACUCCUGCCACGAUGUUCUUACCAGACAAGCAACAGCUCUUGUAUUGACUGCAAGAGAGAAACAUCGGCUUUCACAGAGUGGUGUGAAUGAUGUCGUUGCAGCAUUACAACAGUAUCAGGCAUCGUUGGUCAAUAAUCUGAGAAGUCAGGUAGAAAAGGUUUUCCAGCAGCAUCAUGGAAGUGGACUUGAAAAAGAUGUUUUGGCAGUGUUCGACCAGAUUGAGGAUCCAUUUGCCUCUGUUUCAACAACAUACAGGCAGGAUGGUGUGAUAAAGAGAAAUUUCAAUUUUGUGGAAUCCGAGGAGGUUUGUGUUGGGUAUACUGCUGUCAUGGUAAAAAAAGGGAAAAAAAGAUUCCUCAGUACUGUGCCCAAAUGUUUUCAUUAUGUUCCGCUUGUCAGAAGUUUGGAGCAGUUAUUCUCCCAUCCAAGAGUUUUGGCAUUGAUAGAUGAGCAGAAAAAUUACAGAAAUGAUUAUUUAUACGAUAUCAUAGAUGGAGAACUCAUGAAGUCUCACCGUUUAUUUUCUGCACACCCUUCUGCCUUACAGAUUAUACUUUACUCAGAUGAAAUUGAAAUUUGUAACCCACUUGGGUCUCAUGCCUCCAAAAAUAAGUUGGUAAUGUUCUAUUAUACUUUGGGAAACAUUAAUCCUAAAUAUCGAUCAAAACUAGCUGCCAUUCGUCUACUUGCCAUUGCAAAAAAGAGUGCGCUUUCUGAAUGUGGUGUAGAUGGAAUCUUGCAAAGGCUGCAUGAGGACUUAGUGAAGCUAUUUAAUGGAGUUAAAAUUCAAACUGGAAAUGGUGAACGUGAAAUAUUUGGAGCAUUAGUUUCAUUAUGUGGAGACACUUUGGCGCAACAUGAGCUUUGCGGGUUUAAAGAGGGUGUUGGGUUUGCUCAUAGUAAAUGCAGGCAGUGUGAAUGUUCAUUUGAGGACAUGCAAAUUUAUUUUGAUGAGGAUAACUUUGAGGAACGGACAUUUGAACGACAUGUCCAGCAAUGUAGCGAAAUUGAGAAGGCCAACACAGAGUAUCUAAGAAGCAGCUUAAAAACAACAUAUGGAAUAAACAGAAGAAGCAAACUUAUUAAUUUCCCAGCAUUCAACUUGAUCCAACAAACACCCCAAGACAUGAUGCAUGUAAUUUUUGAAGGGAUUGCUCCAUUAGAAAUAAAGUGUGUGUUGAAACACUUAGUGCUUAUGGGAGAGCUAGACUUAGAUCUCUUCAAUGCUGCAUUGACUGGUUUCCCAUACUCUCCAGUUGAUAUUAGAGAUAAACCAAGUGUUAUUACCUACAGUACAUUAGCUUCCAGUGACAAUAAGUUGAAGCAGUCCUCGGGGCAAAUGAUUGUGCUUUUGAAAAUUUUGCCAUUUCUGAUUGAUGCAGCCAAAGGUACUGAACACUACGCAUUCAUUCUUGAACUCAUUGAGAUAGUUCAGAUUUUACUUGCUCCUGUCAUCAGUCUGCAGACAAUUAACAAGUUGAAAAUCCUCAUUGAACAGCACUUGAAGCACAUGAAACCCCUUUUCCCAGAUAACAACAUCACACCAAAACAACAUUAUUUGAUUCACACACCAAGCCAAAUUAAACGUUUGGGACCAAUGGUCCGUCAUAUGUGCAUGAGAUUUGAAUCGAAACAUUGCUUUUUCAAACAAUGGGCAUCAAAAAUAAAUUUUAAAAAUGUUUGCAAAUCUUUAAUAAAGCAUAAUCAAAUGUAUGAAUGUUGUCAGAAUGUGGAUAGUUUUGAUCACCCCAUUUUUUCCAAUGAAUGCACAUUAGGACCAACCUCAGAAGUAAGCAACAUGUCAUACUUAAAAGAAAAAAUGAGGGCCUUCCUUGGAAAUGAUGAAGUAAACCAUGCAGUGACUGUUAAAUGGCUUAAUCUAAAUGGUAACAAAUACAUAAGGGAUAGGUCAUUAAUUGUUUGUGCUGUUUGUUCUAGUGAUUUACCUAUAUUUGGGCUUGUGAAAAAUAUCUAUGUGAUCAAUUCAUCAUUGUACUGUUUUGAAUUCCAGCAGCACAAUACCAUUUGUUAUGACAGAGAUUACAUGUCAUAUAAGAUAGAGAUUCCAAACAUGGCACAAGCAACGGAACUGAUAUCUGCUGAUAAUCUUAUAGAUUUCACUCCAUAUUACAGUUUCACACACAAAGAUAUGACAUAUGCAGUCGUGAAAUAUUACCUGUGUGAUGUAAUUGGACUACACAUGAGUUCAACAGAUGUUUUAUAAAAGGUACACUGCUUUACAUGCAUGAACUGUAUUAUCAGGUUAUUGCUUUGGACAGUUUUGUUGUUGAGUUUUCUAUCAAAUCUGACAGUUGAAUGUGAUUGUAGCAUUGCCAUAGUGAAGAUAUGUGUACUGAUACUUGUCUGAUGCUGAUCUAUUAAUCUGUUUGACCUGGCCUAAAGUGAAUGAGUUAUGUUGUUUCUGUUUUUCAAAUGGGCCUGUAUUUCAUGUUUAUCAUUGGCUUUUAGUUCCAGCUUUUGUGCAUGUUGUGUCAAACUUGACAGCAGUUUUAUUACACUUUAGUGUCAAUAAAUACAUUUCUUAAACUGAGCAGCUGUUUAAGUGGCCUUACUCUUGAAAUGAGAAAAAUAAUCUUGUUUUUAUUCUGGAAUUCAACCGAACCGUUUUCAUACCUUGUAACUGGUAAAUAAAGCUCAAGAUGAGCUGAAAUAUCCUUUUAAGGAAAAGUUAGACAUAUUUUCCUAGAAUAAGAUUUAUUUUCUUGUGCAAAACUUGCUUGUUAAGAAUAUAUUUUCUUUUUAGACAAAAAAUAAGAAAAAAUGUCCAUAAACAAGGGUUUUUUUACUUUCUUGAAAAUCAUUUUUUGCAGUGUAGUUAAAUUAAAACUAGUGGUUUGAUUAAAUGAAACACUUGUGAACAAGCUGACAUUACCCAUUCAGAAGAAAUUCCCACUUGUGCCGUUUUUAAAAUAAAAUGCAUGCAUCGCUGCAAGCUGAGAUAUUGUCAGAAUUAUAAAUUUAGUGUGAUUAAAACACUAUUACCAACACUUUUGACUAGAUGUAAAUAAAAAGCAUCCCCUCUUUGUUAAGGUGCACUGUGAAGCAAAACGGCUUCCACUCCGCCCGCAAAACAAAGAAUUGCUUUUAAGAACACGUAUGUCUGCAUAACUGAAUGUUGAGAUACACCAAAGUGAUAAAAAUAGUUUGGGACUCUGACCAGCAACAUCCAGCAAGACCCAGACAGCGUUUUCUAUCUCCCAGCUGGAGUUUUUUGUUUGUCUGUGACUGCAGAGUCAGAUCUUUGUUGAGCCUCACACUUGCAGAGGUAAGUCAGUUUGCAGAGAUCCCUCCCACCCUGGCUUUCAUGUGCUAGAUUUCUUAUCUGAAACAGUAAUAUUUCACUGACUGCUGCUUAUACCACAGGUUAAUACACUCUACUGAUCCCUGAUGGGAGAAUCAUCAAGAAGCCUGGUGGAUGUUUGUUUACAGUCUGAUGAUGCGACAUCAUGCUCUGCAUCUUCAAAGUUUGUCUCUUGAUCAUCAUUCAUACACAGUUAUGUAAAGUAUGCUCAUAUCUAGUAGAGCAGGGCAAUAUGGCCCAAAAUAUUUAUCACGAUAUAUAUUUGAAAAUAUAUAUCGGUUACCGAGGGAGAGUUUCUGAAAAGCUGCAUGAUGAAGGUGUGCGACGUCUUGUGUCCAGACAAAACGCAGAUUUUGGCAAAUGUGAGCCUGAGGAGAAACGAAUGUCAAAGUGUAACCGCCAUGAAACUGCCCUGGGACAAACUUGUUGGGCUUACAAGAAAUCGAACAUCAGUGUUGUGUGGUGAAAAAAGUGGACUUGUUGGCAGGAUGCAAGUACAGGUGCAGGAAAUGAGUUAGGGGGCGAUUUUAGCCCAUUUUGGGGGUGCUUCAGCCCCAAAAUGAAUCAAAGUGCCCCCAAAGAUUUCUUACUUUUUUGACAAUACUUGCUGUUUGUGUGACACACUAGUAAAAAAAUAAAAAGCAUUCAGUACUUGGUUGAGACGUAACAUUUUAACAACAAAAGUAUAGACCCCCCCCUCCCAAAAUGCAUGAAAUUGCAGCUCGCCUCUCCCUGCUGGAGCGAUGGUGGUUGAGACGCAGCGGAGCUGAGGUGGAAGUGCCUGGCAUAAAACAGGACAUAUUAGCUGCAUUUAACCUUCAGUUACUCUUUAUAUAGUUGGUAGGAGUCAGACCAUGUUUGUUUUUAGCUGAAAAACAUUACACCAGGUAACCUGCAGUGUGGAAAACUUGUUUUCCGACGAUGUUUGCUACCCUACAAUCCGUCCUGCUCUGUAGUAAAAUCAGUGAUAUUUGACUGUCCUGUUGCUCCCAUUGAAAUGUAUACAGCCUACUUAAAAUCUAAAACUUAUAAUUGUCCGUAGCUACUUUUGUUACCACUGUCCUGUUUGAAAUGGAUACUAACUAGCUAACUGACUGAAUGCCUAUUAACCUUAUAACUCCUGGUGUGUGUGUGUGUGUGUGUGUGUGUGUGUGUGCGUGUGUGUGUGUGUGUGUGUGUGUGUGUGUGUACAGAGAGACAGUCAGGUUCAUAAUGGAUGUUAGGAAGUUCAUGUUUUUUUUUAAAAAAAGAGCCACAUUCAGGUAAAACUAAAAUCAAAUGAUCCAUCAAUCAAAAAUAAUGUUGGAUCAGUGUUUCAAUAUUUAUAUCUUUUAUUAGAUGUUCAUGUGGUUUGGUUAUUUGCCUUUUGGUUGAAAGUACACUGAGAGAGGACUUUUCGUUAGUGAUCUUAAUAAUAUUUUUUUCAUAUUAAUGUCAUUUUUAAUCUAAUUGAAUACAAUCUAUUUGUGUAUGAUUGUCAGUCCAAAGAGGGAGAGAGGAAAGAGGGGAACGUGGGGAGAAAGUUAAAGGUCAGGAAGAACCAGGUAAGAAAACAGAAGGGGAAUAGUGACAGGCAAAACAGAAACUAUGAAACUGACAAAGAGAAAAAAAAUGAUUUUACUCACGCAAUCUGGAAGUUUUUCUCUCCCUGUGUUAAAGCUGCUUUACAGGAUCUGCAAAACAAACUGGGUUGAAACAUUUUUGAUGCUCAACAUUCCAACAUAACAUUAUCAUUGAUCAAUUAAUAAUCAAUGAUAAUGGGGAGAUUAAAAUUAAUAAUAUAUAUGUAUGUGGUUCAGCCACAACUCUACUAAAACCUCAGCCAGUAAUAGGUAGGCCAACUUUUGGGCCGUCCAGUUGUCUGUAUGACUGCCGCAGUACGUACAUCACAUUUGCUCACUAUCAGAAAGAGCCAAACGGAGCGUGGAGUGAUAAGAUAAGAUAAGAUAAAAUAAAAUAAAACUUUAUUAAUCCCUCAGGUGGGUUCCUCUGGGAAAUUCGGUUUCGAAAAGCACAGCACUGACAGAAAUUACAGAGCGUGAGCAGAAUAUUAUAUAUACACACAUAUAAAUACAGAGACAUAUAUAAAUAAAUUAUACGAAGGGGAUAAAUAGAAUAAAUAGGAAUAAAAAAUAAAAAUAAAAUACAAGUGAAAAUACAAGCGAAUU